rnacentral:rRNA from 1 species
AGGCAGCAGUAGGGAAUAUUGGACAAUGGGCGAAAGCCUGAUCCAGCAAUGCCGCGUGAGUGAUGAAGGCCUUAGGGUUGUAAAGCUCUUUUACCCGAGAUGAUAAUGACAGUAUCGGGAGAAUAAGCUCCGGCUAACUCCGUGCCAGCAGCCGCGG